rnacentral:rRNA from 1 species
GGAUCCUCGGGAGGCAGCAGUGAGGAAUAUUGGUCAAUGGGCUUACGCCUGAACCAGCCAAGUCGCGUGAGGGAAGACUGCCCUAUGGGUUGUAAACCUCUUUUGUCAGGGAGCAACGCCGGCUACGUGUAGCCGGACUGAGAGUACCUGAAGAAAAAGCAUCGGCUAACUCCGUGCCAGCAGCCGCGGUAAUACGAAGGAUGCGAGCGUUAUCCGGAUUUAUUGGGUUUAAAGGGUGCGCAGGCGGAUUUUUAAGUCAGCGGUAAAAUGUCGGGGCUCAACCCCGGCCGGCCGUUGAAACUGGU